rnacentral:tRNA from 1 species
GGAAGCGUGCCCGAGUUAGGGUUUACACUGAUAGCGUAGCCACGGAGCUCUUGCUCCCGCCUCCC